ensembl:snRNA U6 U6 spliceosomal RNA
GUGCUUGCUUCGGCAGGAUAUAUACUAAAAUUGGAAGGAUACGCAAAAUGGUAGCACGGCCCCUGUACAAAGAUGUCAAGCAAAUUUGUGAAGCAUUCCAUAUUUUU